GGCUGGAUAGCUCAGUUGGUAGAGCACAGGAAUGAUAAUCCCGAGGUCGGAGGUUCAAGCCCUGCUGCAGUCA